rnacentral:rRNA from 1 species
UACGUAGGCAGCAAGCGUUGUUCGGAAUUACUGGGCGUAAAGAGCGUGUAGGCGGUUCGGUAGGUCCGUUGUGAAAACUCGAGGCUCAACCUCGAGACGCCGAUGGAAACCCCCGAACUAGAGUCCGGAAGAGGAGAAUGGAAUUCCUGGUGUAGCGGUGAAAUGCGCAGAUAUCAGGAAGAACACCCGUGGCUAAGGCGGUUCUCUAGUACGGUACUGACGCUGAGACGCGAAAGCGUGGGGAGCGAACAGG